GUAUUGUUAAGAAUUUAAGAUGUGGUUCAUAAAAUUGAACAAUGCAUGCCAUGUCUUAUUUUAUUGACACAUAAUCACAGUUAUAUAAUCGUUAGUUUAACAAUGUUUUAAACAUUUUGAGUUCUAUUGCAGUUAGGGCUCAGGCCCAAUCUUCUACUGUAUGUUGCCCCGUUUUCUCCGCCGAAAGUAAGCAAAUAAAAAAACAUCGCGGGUUUUCUCCUGUGUUCCAUUGCCACAGUCAGGAAAAAUAUUCUUUUCCUCAGAAAAUUGUAAGUUUUAUUUUUUGUCUUGAACCCCCCCCCCCCAUACUACAUACCUCCAUAGUCCAUACCCUAUAAUCUCAUCAGAUUUUUUUUAUGUGAUGUGUAUCUUAUUAUUCAUUUCUCGUGAGUCGUGAGCUCGUGAUGUAAGCUCCGGAAACAGAGUUCGGAAAGCAAUCCAUCCGUUCCGUUCCGUACAGUCAAACGUAUUAAUCGUGGAGGAAUCUUUUGGCUGCCGGUAGGUGGCUAAAAUCAUGUCCCCCAGCCACCAGGUGACGCGAGUGUCUUCGUUAGAUUUUAGAGAAUUAGAUCAGAAACAAUUGUUAUUUGUUUCCGAGACGCUGAUUGUGAUUGAAAAUGUACUCAAAUUCAAUUGCGGUGUCGAUCUACAUUUUCAGUCAUGAAAUGGCAAUCUUGCAAAUAAUUUCCACAUGGCCAAAUAAUGUGACGACGUGGGUCGAAACUGCUGUCCAUUUUACAUUUUACCGAAAUGUCGUACAUUGUUAGCUGUACCUGUAAGGCUGUACGUCUCAUCUCUUGCAGAAACACUUUAAGAGCUGGUUGGAGACGGAGAUCCCUUUGUUCAACUGUUGCAGAAAUUGAGAAUACGGCAAAUUUUGAGCUUCAUGGCUGUUGUAUCAUUAAUGUGGUUUUGUUGCAGCCAAUUGGUGAAAGGUGUGAUUGAGUUGAGUUGAGCUGCAGCUGCUGCAUGCAGUUUCUCGAGCUGGUGUUAUCCCAGAGUCACUGCAGGAAGACUUCUUGAAUAAUUAUUAUGAUUGAUAUUAUUGGUUGUAACUUGGAGUUCAUGGUCAGUUUGAUGCUGUUUGGAGUACAGACAUACAGUGGUUUUGCAGUCCCUUUCCAGUUGAGAGAUGCUCUGAAAUGGAGCUUGUGCAGGCUUGCAGUUCAACAUCACGCUUAAAUGUGUCAUUUGUCUAUGUUGGUGUCGAUGCAGUGCUGAACAGUAGCGUAAAAUAGUAAUUGUUGCCUGAUGGCUGUCGGGCUUUUUUUAUCGGCUGCGUUUUGUCGUUAUGUCAUCUCUUGCUACCGGCGUUGAGUUCAAUCGUUUGCCACCGAACCCAUAGAUAAGAUCCAUUGGUGAAACUGAUGUUGCUGAAAUUCAAGACUCAUCAAAAAUUUUGUACAUGUAGGUAAAUUACAAGAGCAUAUCUGGGCUCCCUUCUUCAGUGGCCCCGUUUCCCUAACUAACCACUAACCAACGCCCGCCGAUGGUCACUCACUCGCUGCGACAAUCAGGAGGAAGAGAGUGGACUGGUCGAACGGGGAUUUGCAAGGCGCAUGAUUCGAUGAUAACUGUUCCUCGGCUCUCUUCGCUCUUUUUCCGGUUUCUCUUAACCACGGCCGGGUAAUCUCCCUGGUCCAGUCAAUCGAGGCAGUGUCUCCCCCUUCUUUGAUUGGCUGCGUAUUGAAUUGGACGGUUUGUUUAGUAAAAAAACUAAAUAUAAUUAAAUAUGGAAUAUAAAAUAUAAACCAUUA